GAAGAGAGAGAGGAGUAUCGUCAAACCUACUGCGAGCCAAGCACAGACUAUCCAUGCAACCCCGACAAACAAUACUAUGGGCGUGGAGCAUUACAAAUUACAGGGAAUAAAAAUUAUGGACCUGCUGGAAAGAGCAUUGGCUUGGACCUUUUAAACUCUCCAGAAACCGUGGCCUCAGACGCUGAUGUUGCAUUCAAGACUGCCAUUUGGUAUUGGGUGGUAAAUGUUCGUAAUGCUUUAAGUCAAGGAUUUGGAGCCACAACUCGAGCCAUUAAUGGUGCUAAGGAAUGCGAUGGUCAACAACCUGACCUAGUUCAAGCCCGGGCCGCCUUGUACCAGAGUUAUUGCAGCCAACUUAAUGUUGAUCCUGGCGCUAAUCUCAGUUGCUAGAAUGCCAAAACUUAUUAAUUAUAUGGAGAUAUCGUUAAUUGCCCCCUUUAAUAUGAUAUAUAUCAAUAUAUCUUUUUUUUUUGUUUGUUCCCAAGCUAGCAUGGAAGGAGAGGGCUACCUCCUGUUGUGUACUCCACCCAUUGAAUAAAUAAAGACUAUAUAUUUCUAUUGAAUGUGUUUUUUGUCAUUCGCUAAGGAGGAGGAUGAAGCAGAAUUAUAUUGGAUUGCCUCAAGAUUGUCUUCUAUGUGAAUCGAACCCGGGUGCACUAAGGGGGGAAUGUGAGAGUUUUGGCCUACUUUUUUUACCGUGAUGCCACCCCAUGUGCUGUAUUGAAUGUUAUAUAUAUUGUUGAAAAUUGUAGGAAUCUUUGUGAAGUCUGUUUAGCGAACAUUUGUGAUUGGUUUGAUAUGAAUAUGAGAUUAGUUGUGCUGAGGACUUGUUUUCUUCUAAAUUUGUUUAUAUAUCGGCUUCUACCCUAACUUGAGAAAGAAUAAAUACUCCUUGGCAGUAAAGAUUGCUUGGAAUACAAUUCGGGCUAAUUACCUGUUUUAAGCAACUAGAAACCCCAAUCAAAUAAGGUCAUAUAAGCCACAAUUUGACUCAAGAAAAAUUCAGGCCCAAACAUGAACAAAAGCGCAUAUUAUUUUAGCACGAAUAGUUCUGUACCCUCUAGAAUCUUGUUAUUUUCACAUAGCUCUUUCCUAUCUGCCAAUCUCUUCUCCCGAUUUGUCAUUUCUCAUCACUUUCUGUUGAUCCACUUUUCGGCAUCGAACCUAAAUUUCCCUCUCAUUUACUCAAACAAAGUUCCCAACUUUCUUCUCUGUCUCACUUCUAAUUGUUUCAAUCAAAUUGAACUGCAGGCAUGCGCAGAGAAAGUAAAUUAAGAUAUUUUUUAAAAAAAAGCAUUUUCAUUCAUAACCUUCCCGAGCUCAAAUAUUGAGAUUUCUUACAAGAAUUGCCAAUAUUCCUAGAGUCAUAUCACACUACACAGAUGAUAGAACUUCCCAACUUCUCAAGAGAAAGGGAAUCUAGAAUUAUUCUAACGAGUCAAAAAAGAAAGAGCUAUGCUACAGUCAAUCACCUGCGCGAGAUUAGGCCAUUUUUUACCAUUCAUUAUUGUGGGACACAAAUUUGAUUAAUGGUAAGAAAUUGCUCCCUUGUUCUUAUUUACGUUUGUCUUUCCUUCGAAGUCAUGAUCAUGUGGUGUUCUAGUGUUCCUAUUGUCAGUUCAUAUGGUAUAAGCUUCUCCUCAUUGUGGAUUGUAUUGGCACUAGUUUGCCAAGCACCUCUUUCUUUGCAUGGUCUCUGGGUCACUCGAACAGGAACCAACUCUCUUCUGUAAUCCAUGGUUCUGUCUUGAGGCAACAGUUUACUGUAUAUGGAAUCCAGCUGAUUUAUCUUUUCGAAUUCGAAAGCUACUUCUGCCAAGAAUGUUAUUAUAAGAUAUUGGCUGCUUUAAUUAUGAAGUUGGAUUAAGUCUAUUUGCUUUGUUUGAUCUAAUCAGAUCAUAUGGCAAUUUUGUUCAUAUAUUGACCAUUAAAAUUCCUGUGGAAGAAAUGACUAUCAUUAUCAUUGUUUUUGUAAGUAAUGUAUGGUAUCAAAAAAUAUUAAUACUGGUCCCUUCCUAUACGAUUAGUUUUUUGUCGCUACCUAAGUCUGGUGGCUAGGGUUUGCGUUGUCUAGUGCUCACGUCCUUUUGCAGAGAGCUCUUUCCAUGCCCAUAAGGCGUCCCUGUCUGCAUAGGAGUGACGAAGGUGACGGGCUCGUGACACUCUAGGGUUCGGCGUCGUGUUUUGUGAAGGUUUUUGGGCGAGAUCUAGAGUGGACUUUGGAGGCGUUGAAAGAUAUCGUUCAAGGAUUUACCACUAACCUGGCAAUCUCGGAGGUAGAUGCUUUCGAGAUUGUAGGCGUGGAGGAGCUGAGUAAAUUGAAGGCUGAUCGUUUCCUUUUGGUUGGGCGCUUACUCAUAACCAAGCCUGUCCAUAAAGAGCCGCUGUUUGGUACUAUGAAGAAUAUCUGGCGUACAUUGGAGGAUAUCACUGCGGUUCCUUUGGAUGUACCCGAGAGGUUUUUGUUCUCCUUCAAGUCUGAUCUUGAUCAUAGAAGAGUGUUGAGGAGUUCUCCUUGGACUUUUGAUAAGGCCCUGUAGUUGCUUGAGGCAACAAACGGUUAUGUUGAUCUGCUGACAAUUACUUUGGAUACCCAUAACUUUUGGGUAAAGGUUAGGCGUAUUACCCUCUUGUUCCUGACUCCAGCAAUGGGAGAGAAAUUGGGCAACUACCUUGGAUCUUUUUUCAUGGUGGAUCGCAGAUUGAAUGAGGAUUGUUCGGGCAGUUUCUUGCGCAUCAUGGUAGGGUUGAAGAUAUCGAAGCCCCUGAAGUGUUGUGUUAUGCUUUGUUUAGCACUUGAUGAACUAGCAAAGUAGCACGAGAUCGAGUAUGAACGGCUGCCUUAUUUCUGUCUGUAUUAUGGUAGAUUGGAUCAUAUAGGUUCAAACUGUGAGUUGAAACGAAAAGGGGAUAUUACUACGGAACGAUAUGGACGGUGGAAGACUAUGGUCAAAGAUGUUUUUAGUAUCAGGUUAGUGAACGGUUUUACAAGGAAUAGGAUUAGACUUGGAGGCGACGAGACACAGUUGACAAUUGUGCUUCACCCCGAAGGUGGUGGGCAUUGUUUGUCUGUGAGAAGCGAUGGGAAAUGGUCGGGGAGAGAUAACCAUAGAGGAAGAUGGUUUGGGAAGUGAUCAUGUGCUACGUCUAUUCAAAAAGAGACGAUUUUCUACUGAAGGUGAAGGCCAUACCACUACAGCACCGAUGGGGAAGAGGCCGGGUGAAACUCAUAAGUGUUUAUUAGUGAGCGUCCGAGGUUCAGGAACCCAAGAGGUACUGACAAAAUUGCCAGAGACUAUGAUUGUGGAGAAGGCAUUGGUAGACUACGUCGCUGUCGAACAACUACUGGGAUUACCUUUGUUCUCUAUGGGUAAAGAGCAGAUAGGCAGUAGGGGCCUGUAUGGUGGAAGGUGCUCGAUCAAAAAACAGAGCAACAAAAGAUACAGGCCACGUAGAGAUGGUGGAUGAGGGAAAUGAGAAGUGAUGUUACAAAAGCAAAAGACGAGCCAAGCUGGUCAAUCGGUGAUGAGUCCCGAGAAUUAGUCCUAUCACGAGCAAUGACAAUCUUAUGCUAGAAUGUUUAUGGUCUGGGCAAUCCACGAACAUUUCAAGCUAUGAGAUUCCUCAUUAUAGACAAAAACGAAAAAAAAACUACUCGUCAAAUGAAAUACAUCUAAUUGCUGCUAGGUUGGGCUGGCUGCUUUAAGGUGAGCAGAGUUGGCUUGUCUGGAGGGCUUGCCCUCCUUUGGCAAUAUGGGAUGAAUAUAAUGAUUCGUUCUUCAUCGCCAGGUCAUAUUGAUGCCAUCUUUGGAGGUUUGGAGCCAACUGCAUUUAGGUUUACUAGUUUUUAUGGAAACCCGUAUAUGAAGCUGCACAAGCAUUUGUGGGAUCUAUUACAGUGGAUUGCGGGUGAUGUGAUUGGCCCAUGGCUAGUGGGUGGUGAUUUUAAUGAAAUAGUUACGGCACAUAAGUAUUUACACUGCCGAUUUCUGGCUAUGUCAUAGAUAAGGGAUUGUGGUGCAGCUCUUAAGGAUUAUGGUAUGUCGACGGUAGGUUUCAGAGGAUAUAAAUUUAUUUGGUCCAACCAAUGGAGAGGUAGUGGUAAUGUUCAGCUUUGUUUGGAUAGGAUGGUGGCAAAUGAUUUAAUGUUUCUAGCUUUCCCGGAUAUGCUUACCCAUCAUCUUAAUUCUGUGGUAUCGGACCAUCUCCCUAUCCUCAAGGAGUGUGGGUCGCAUAGUUGGGCAUGGAGAAAGCAACGUUUUAUGUUCGAGGAACUUUGGACCACAUUUGAAGGUUGUCAGGAUACCAUUACUAGUGCUUGGAGGGUUGAUCAGGGGUCUGUUUUGAGCAAAUUGCAUUCUUGCCAGGCAUCCUUGACCCGGUGGAAUAAGGAGAAUGUUGGCUAUAUUUCUACAAAAGUAAGAUGUUUGCAGAGUAAGCUAGAUAUUUUAAUGGGAAAUGAGCAAGAUGCAACAAUUGCUCUUCAACAGAAAGCUCUCUCGCAGAGCCAUCUCUCUUCCCUCCGCGAGCCUCGUCAACGUCGCCGAGCCUUAUCCUAGUCUACGAUCGUGGUUUCUCUCUCUCAUGUUUUUCUGAUGGUUUAUCUAUCGUGGUUUCUAUAUUUUCCUUUUGUUUGUUGAUGAUGCCCGUCGUCGUUCACCUAGCUAUCUCUCUUUCCUCCACGAGCCUUGUCAGCACUUGUCGAGCUUCUAUGCCGUGCUACACUGCUGUUGUUCCCUUUGCAUACCCCUUCUUUCCCUAUGUCCCAAGUGCAUACCCCCUGUUUCCCCAUGUCGACGGUGGGUUUCAGAGGGUAUAAAUUUACUUGGUCCAACCGAUGGAGAGGUAGUGGUAAUGGUAAUGUUCACCUUCAUUUGGAUAGGAUGGUGGCAAAUUAUUUAAUGUUCUUAGCUUUCCCGAAUAUGCUUACCCAUCAUCUUAAUUCUGCGGUAUCAAACCAUUUCCCUAUCCUUACGGGGUGUGGGUCGCAUAGUUAGGCAUGGAGGAAGCGACGUUUUAUGUUCAUGGAACUUUGGACCACAUUUGAAGGUUGUCAGGAUACCAUUACUAGUGCUUGGAGGGCCGCUCAGGGGUCUGUUUUGAGCAAAUUGCACUCGCUGGUUUGUUAUUUCUGUGGAUGAUUGCACUUGCAUGAUGUGGUUGUACUUGAUGAAAAAUAACAGUGAUGUUUUUGCUGUUUUUAGAAUUUUCACCAGAUUGUUCUAUUGACAGGUAUAGUGCCAAACUUAUGGCCUGAGGUUUAACCUAGACUUAUGGAACUUUGGACCACAUUUGAAGGUUGUCAAGAUACCAUUACUAGUGCUUGGAGGGCCGCUCAGGGGUCUGUUUUGAGCAAAUUGCACUCGCUGGUUUGUUAUUUCUGUGGAUGAUUGCACUUGCAUGAUGUGGUUGUACUUGAUGAAAAAUAACAGUGAUGUUUUUGCUGUUUUUAGAAUUUUCACCAAAUUGUUCUAUUGACAGGUAUAGUGCCAUACUUAUGGCCUGAGGUUUAACCUAGACUUAUGAUAUUGAUUAUCAAGAGACGUUUGCACCGGUGGCUAAGAUCAAUACCAAUCGAGUUCUAUUACCUUUAGCUGUAAACUUUAAUUGUCCAUUCAAGCAAUAUGAUGUAAAAAAUGUCUUCUUACAUGGAGACUUACAUGAGGAAAUCUACAUGUCAUUGCCGCAAGGUUAUAAGGCUCCUAAUGAUGCUAGUGCUGUAUGUAAAUUGAAGAAGGCACUAUAUGGAUUGAAGCAGUCUCCGAGAGCUUGGUUUGGGAGUUUCAGUCUUUCCAUAAAAAAAAAAUUGGUUAUGAGUAGAGCAAUGCUGAUCGUACUUUAUUUUUAAAAGGAAGAAUGGUAAGUUAACAGCUCUUAUUAUUUGUGUGGAUGAUUUGAUUGUGAUUGGUGAUUAUCUUGAUGAAAUUGGCAAACUGAAAGGCUAUUUAGCUUCUGAGUUCGAUAUGAAGGAUCUCGGUGGAUUAAAAUAUUUUUUAGGUAUUGAGGUAACUCGUUAUGAACAGGGAAUUUUCUUGUCACAAAGAAAAUAUGUUCUUGAUUUGCUAAAGGAAACAGGUAUGCUUGGUGUGAACCGAUUGGUACUCCUAUAGAACGAAAUCAUGGUUUGGAAGAAUAUCCAGAUCAAGUUCCAAUUGAAGUCCUUAUUUGUCUUAAGGCAUAGAAAGGACCUCACUAUUCAGUUUACCGUUUCAAAUGACAAUUGUUUUUUUUAAGUCAUUUACUUUGUGCGCAAGUCUAUUUUUAUUUAUUUAUUUACAAGUCUUUUAGGGUUUUAACACUACUAAUAUUGGCACACUCGCAAAUUCACAUAAGCUCAACCCUGUUUUAAGGCUUGGACAUUUUUAGGGUAAAUAUAUUUUCGCACUCCCCGUGGGAUCUCUAAUACACAUAUUACUAACAACUUAUGUUGGUAUAUCCGUUACAUGGACUAAAGUUACUUCGUUUUACCAAAAAGAUUGUUAUAAGACAUUUCAAACUUGGAAGUUCUAAAAUUGUUGCAUAAUUGCAGAAUGGUACUGAGGAAGAUAAUAAAGGAGCUCUUACUUUAGCAAAUGCAAUAGAGAAGGCUCUGCAAUUGCAUGACAACCCUAAUUCUAUAGUGAAAGAAACAGCUAAAUCUAUUGCAGUAUUUUUAGCCACUCGAUCCUUUUAAGGUUUAGAUAUACAUUAUGAAGGUUCCUUGCCAGAACCAUAUUUUAUAGGGAGAUGUAGAAGGGUAGUAGGGUAUGAAGAUGAGAAAAACGGGCAUCGUGUUGAAGGAUGUCCCAUUGGUAGAUGUGUGGAAGGCAACAGGUGUAGGUGACCGCCCGAGAGGGGACAUGUAAAUGAAAGAGCAUACUAUUGAUGUCUCCCUUGCAGCAUGGAGUGCAUCUAUAUGAAACCGAGACUAUGUAAAGGGAGAAACAAGUUUACUAGGACUUGGGUUACAAGUUUACUAGGAAUAGGAAACCAAAACCCUACUAGAUUGGGCUAAGAAAUAUGCCCUUAAAGCCAUCAAAUUAUGUAAGAGCAACUCCACCCAUUUUCCAUGGCUAAGGGCAAGGGGGGGCUAGGGCAGUUACUAUUCAUGUAAAUAGUUGCUGCCUUUGCAAAAAGCAAUGUGUGUUUCCAUCCGUUGCCAUUUUUCUUUUUUUUUUUAACCUAAACAAUUAAUUUGGAUAAUAUUUUCAGAUAAGAUUUUUGGGUUCGUACAUGUCAAUAUUUAUUAUCAAAUUCAUAUCUCAUAAUCGGAUAAAAUUUUAGGAUAAGAUUUUCAGUUUCAAAUUUUAAAUUUCAAAUUUUAGAUAAAUUUCAGAACAUCUUCCACGGUUGCCCACGUGCCCCCGGCUUCGAUGGAAGAUGCCAUGAGAUGGUGAAUAAAAUGAAAAUUGGAAGUGAUGAAAAUUUUGUGUAGAAGGUGAAAAACAAUAGAAUUUAUGAAAUUGUAUGAGGAUUUGGUGUUCAAAGUGAAGAAGAAUGGUAGGUAUUUAUAGGAAAAAAGUUCAGAAUUUUUUGGUAAUUCUUUAAAAAAAUGUCAAAUUUUUUUUUUUUCACAUUUUUUUGCCCAAAAAAAACCCAGUCAUUGGAUUUGGAAAAAAAAAAAAAAAAAAAAAAAGCAUCCGCGCAACUGGAAUGCGGCACUUGUCAAGUGACCGUUGGUCGACGUCAGCAUUGACGUCACCUCGCCUCGGGCUGCUUCCCCCAGCUAGAUGGCCCUGUCGCGUGGCACCCGCCUUGGCUAGGCUGUCUUGGCCCGCUGGAACCCGCUGCUUGGGAUCGAGCCCUGUCCUGCCCGAGCUUGGGUUUGUUGUUGGACUUGCUCUAAUAGUUAGAGUUAAAGACAUCUUUAAUAAAAGACAUAUUAUGUUAUCAAUAGGCAAGAAAGGUUGUUUUAUACAAUAAAUCAUCCUAUAUUAUCUUUCAAUAUGGAGAACAACCAUAGUCCAAGGAAUACACAAGUGGAUAUGAGAGCUAUGUAAUGAGAUUGCAUACAUGGAGACUUCUCAUCAUCCCUAAAUCCUAAAUAUGUUCAUGGUAAUAGGAAUAUUGAUUGGGCAUCAAUAUUCUGCAAAGACUUGUACACACAGUAUCGUCCCUAUAUGUAGGGAAUGGCAAGGUCUCAAGUCAUUAAGUGUGGAGACACAUCGAUAUGUGUAUAUGUGCUUGUAGAAGAACAAGUACACUGAAGGCGAUCCAACACAUGAGUUACAACAUGGAAGUCUUUACUUACAUGUCAAGCUGGAAGUCAUAAUUUGCAAUGGUGCAAACUAAUCCUUAGACCUGAGGCAUCAUAGAUGUUUUGUGGCUAUGUUGUUAAUCUUUGAGGGCACUAUACGGUCAUGCUGAAUUAGGCAUAGCUUAAAGGUGCUCAUCAGGAUUCUCAAUAGUGUCAUGGAAGUAAAUGAAUGUACAAUAAGGAAUCUCUACUCUCAGUAAAGGAGAGAGAAUACUCCAAAAUAUGAUUGGUCAAAUCUCUAAGCAGAGUAGUGGAUAAGACUUGAAAGAAGAAGUCUUCAAGUGUUACCAGGAUAAUCAUAUAAAAUGAAUGAUUCACAUUAGGAUAUUGACAAUCGGAUUCCAUGAUCUAAUAACGUGAAUAAGGAGUAUUGACAUAAGAGAAUGAUUCAAUUGCACGGUUAUUCCAAUUUAAAUAGGUUCUUACACAACGUCUCAUUUAGCUCGGAUAACUGUGACUUGCUGCUAGGCGACAACCAUGGUUUGUGAAUGUCCUAAAAGGUUUCAAUUAACCUUUAUUAAUAGAAAGAAUUAAAUUGUGGAAUUUAAUUUAUAUAUUCAAAGAAACUAGGCUAAGAUACUUUGUUUAAAAUGAAAUUGGUUUAGCUCAACUAGUAUAAACAAAAUGAAUAUGACAUUUAUAAUGUUUUUGUUGUAUAGGUUGUGGCUAAAUUUCAUUUCCUAAGCAUUAGAUGCAUGUUUCCUUCACUUGGCUACGUAAGAAUUCAUUGUCCAAUCGAACCUUCUAGUUCCUGGAUGCUCCAUAGAAAUCCAUUGUUAUUCCUUUCUUCCACCGAGAAAGUUUCAUUUCAAAUCACAAGAGAAAUUUCUCUCUCUUUUUUUAUAAGCACCGACCGUUCGUCAUGAUUGGGUGACGGUUCGCCUGGAGCAAAAUUCACAACUCGAGCCUCUCUACCAAAAUCCAACUGGUUGGCUGGCCACACCGGCCGGUAGCUUUCUUGCUGCUGCCAAAUCCUACGACUUCUUCUCCUCUCUUGUUGCUCCUUUUCAUGCAGCACCUUGGUUCCUCUUCUUCCUCCUACAUUAUGGUGAGCCAAAUCACAACACUAGCUACAUGUAAUGAGCAACUAAGGCAAGGGUGGAACUACUUCCAAGGCUAUAUAUAUGUUUAACUUGUUUUAUAUAUAGCCCAGUACGUACUAACUUAUUCAAGUCCAAAAAAGUCUAAGUCCUUAUGAAUUUAGUUGGAGAGCAUCAAUUUGAUAAUAGGUACACUUUCAAUUAUGUUGUUGAACAUAUUUUCAUUUUGAUAAUAUGUGUUUUUUAGUUGCAUUUAAUAUGUAUUGGUUUUAAGUUUUUUUUUAGGACCUUUCCUUUUGAGAGGGCCGAUAAUAUACUAAACUCACACACACUAUAUUCAUACUAGGACUUGAACCUAGGACCUUGCUUGGGAGAGCAGUUGCUCCAAACCACCACACUAGUGGGUCCUUUUGCAUAUAUGUUUUAAGUUAAAGCUUAUUGGAAAUGAACAUUUAGCUCUGCACUCAAGGACCUAAGUUCGAUUUCCCACUCACCCAAUAUCGCUUAUAUAAGAAGGAAAAAACUUAUUGGAAAUUAGUCAAUUGAACUAUGAACUAGUGUAUGUUUUUAUUUAUUUAUAACAAAACAAUACAAGCAACAGUCUAAACUACAAGUGGGAGGGGAGUUUCUCACACACACACAUUAUCAAGGUGUCAUGGAGGUUCAAACAUGAGACCAAUGGUUUGCGAGUCAAGGUCCCUUUCUAUUGGGCUAGACCCCGUUGAAGAACUAGCGUGGUUAUAUGAUUUAAUGUUUGCUUUUAUUUCUAGAAAGACUAUAGAAUCUGGAAGUACCAAAAAAAUAAAAUAUCAUUAAAUUUUAAGCUAAUAAAUUUAGCUAGACUACCCGUAAAAACAUUUCUGGUUCCGCCCUUGAACUAAGGUCUUGUUUGAUGGCUUAGUUUCUUAGUUUUUGGUUACUUUUCAUCAAAGAUAGUGAGAGGGGAGACAGUAAAUCUGAAUUGUGAAGCAUAAGAUACAUAAGCCAGACUUUUUCCAUUCACAUCAAGAUAAAAGUUUUCUCUGUCUGCAGAUGACUGCACUUUAAACUUCCUUGCCUAACUUCUAUGAUUUUUACUUCCCUUUUAUAUUUAACUUGCAUUUUAGGUAUUAAUAUGGAGUUGUAAUUACAAUUAUGGCAGUUAAUGAAAUGCUUGGAAUACAUUAUAAAUAAAAUAUGAAGUCUAAUGGCAACGAUGUAAAAACAUAGGAAUAUUAUGACAUCUUAUAUCUUACUGGUAAUUUAAGUUUAAAAUUGAGUUUUCCACAUAGAUUUAUAAAAUGAUGGGUAUAUGUCUAGGAAAUAAAAAUGGUAGGGACCUAUAUUGGAAAAACCCUAAAUUUUAUUAAGAAACCACAAAAGGGCACAACAAUACAACAAAAAGUAAAAUCCAACCAAGCUCAGCAACAAGGAUAUACUUUUUUAGUGGAAAAUGUUGGGAACACUGACUUAUAUCAUGAUUUGAUUUUUCUUUGGCCUACAAAUCAAUUCUUUUAUGUGGAAAAUUCUUUUGACUUUGUCACUCAAAUUGUACAAAUAUGGUUGUGUGGCUUUUAAAAGGCAACGUGACGUGUGGGAUGGGCUGCCAAUUUUGAAACUUAUUAGCUUCUUUGAGAAGCUGGUGCAACAUUUAUGCGCGUGAACACUUGGCGGAUUGAUCCAUCAGAGAAGACAAAAUAAUGGUGUCAUUUGGACAGACUUGGGCAAUUGAUCCGGCAACAAGUCUUUCAUGGUUCCUUUAGCCUCGUUUGUUACGGAAGAUUGUCUUGGCAUGAACUAUUCUAAGAAAUUGUCUUGGCCUGAAUUGGCUUAAGUUGAAUAACACUUAACCUAUGUUUGGUGAUGCUUGGAUUGGGACUAAAUUUAAAUUGAUUAAAAUAUCAAUAAAUAGGACGAUAUAUUUCAACUUCUGUUAUACUGUACAAACGUGGGUUAAAAAUAUUCCAAUUUUUUUUUUUUUGCUAGUAAAUAGACCAGACCCGACCCGUUAAUUCUAGGCCAAAGUUCCCAAAGUUUUAUUUAAUAAGGUUUAUUUUUUAGGUUUAUAUAGGUUUUAAAUUUAAGGGCAUUUGUGUCUAUUUAAGUGAAUUUUUUACUAUAUUUGAAAUAUUUUAUAAAAACUGAUAUUUUUGAAAUUAAGGAUCAAGUUUUGAUAAAUUCUCUAAUAAAUACAUUAGUUUUAAGUUUUAGAUUUAUUACAUUUUUUUAUUUCUUGCUUGCAUUUAUUAACUGUCAUUUCUUUAUCUCUUUUUCGAAGCCUCAAAAGUCCAGUCAAUGGAUGGGGCCGUCUGAGUUGUUUUGUACGGUGGAAAACGUAUAAACUGGAUUUCGUGUCCUGGACUUCAAUAAUUUUUUCAUAUCUUUUAUUUAUUUAAACAACUUGGACUUCGUAGAAAUGGGGCUUUUUCUUUGGGUCAAGAAGUCAGUCAAUGGAAUACGUGUUCUCUCCGCCAUCGAUGGGGCAGCCUCUGUUUACCUCUCCUACUUUUGGGUGAAGAAGUCAGUCAAGUCUUUAUUUAUAAGAUUUUUGAAGUUGUUAAGAUAUCUACUGUGGCCAACAAAAUUCACGAACUUGCUUUCAGAAAAUAUUCAGAUAACAAUUAUUUAAUUGAGUAGACAAAUAAAUUCAAAUUCAAGUGAUGAUUUUCGCAGAGAUCAUCGCUGAAGAAUAUCAAAAAAAUAUACAAUUUGAAUCAUAAAAAAAUAAUAUUAUAUAAGUCCUACAACAGUGUUCCACAAACAAAAAAAUCCUCAAAUGAAGCUUUUAUGAGUAGGUACGAGCUUUAUUAAUUAUCCCUGACAAGAUUGUAGACCACCAUGGAAAGUCUCCUGCGGUAGUAGAUGUAAUUUGGGAAUCCAAAGAAACUAAUUUGCACGCCAGACAUGCAAGUCAAUGUCAACUCAAGUCAUACACGAUUUCUGAUAAAUUCAUGUCGGAAAAUGAAUUUCUAGGGAAGUUAUGAGCAUUUCAGACUCUAUGUUUCUCUAUAAAUAUCCAACAACAAAUCUUAACCUUCAUUCUCAUUCUUCACUAGCCCUUCACCAAAAUGGCUUUCUACAAUACAACAAAACACCUUCUAAGCCUCACUGCCCUAGUCUUUGUGGCUGGAGCACUGCUAAAAAAUGUGACAGCACAAAAUUGUGGCUGUGCCCCAGAUCUAUGUUGUAGCCAGUAUGGCUACUGCGGCAGCAGCGAAGACUAUUGCGGCCCGGGUUGUCAACAAGGCCCUUGUACUGGCGGUGGCGGCGGCACACCUACCACACCAAGCCCCAGUGGUGGUGGUGGUUCGUCGGUGGCUGAUAUUGUAACCCAAGAAUUCUUCAAUGGAAUCAUUAACCAGGCUCCUUCAGACUGUGUUGGGAAGAACUUCUACACUCGAGAUGGUUUUAUUAACGCUGUGAACUCAUAUUCUGACUUAGGUAGACGUGGUUCGGUUGACGAGUCUAAACGGGAAAUCGCAGCUUUCUUUGCUCAUGCGACUCAUGAGACUGGCUGUAAGAUAUUCCUUUCCUCCCCUCUCAUACAUACAAUGUGACAUGAACAAAUUAUAACUCCCCUCUCUCAUUAAAAACGUGCAUAUGUUACAUGUUGUGAAAUUAUAUGUUUCACAACGUGCAAUAAGAGCACGUUGUAUUAUACAACUUUUAGCAACAUGCAUUUAGUGUGCGUCGUCGAAAUGCGUUUAGUGCAUAUCAUGUCUGAAAGUUUCUAUAGUUGCUAAAUAUUUUCCAUGUAUUAAGCUCCACAAUUACCGAAUGAAUUUCCUCAUUAUGAUAUGCACAGAUAUUUAUGUCAAAUAGUUGAUAACCUAUAAAAAUUCAAAACCCCUAUUUCUCAUAUAAAAAUUUGAUGGGUCUUAUAUAUUGUCAACAUAAAUAGAACAAACAAAAGAAAACACAGAUGAACCUAACAAAAUAACUUUUUCUUUUUUGUUCAGAUUUUUGCUUCAUAGAAGAGGACGAGGCGACUCGUGAAACCGCCUGCCAGCCAAGCACAGAGUAUCCAUGCAACCCCGACAAAAAAUACUAUGGGCGUGGACCAUUCCAAAUUACAUGGAAUUACAAUUAUGGACCUGCUGGAAAAAGCAUUGGCUUGGACCUUUUAAACUCUCCAGAAACCGUGGCCUCAGACGCUGCUGUUGCGUUCAAGACUGCCAUUUGGUAUUGGGUGGGAAAUGUUCGUUCUGUUUUAAGUCAAGGAUUUGGAGCCACAACUCGAGCCAUUAAUGGUGCUAAGGAAUGCGAUGGUAAAAGACCUGACCUAGUUCAAGCCCGGGCCGCCUUGUACCAGAGUUAUUGCAGCCAACUUAAUGUUGAUCCUGGCGCUAAUCUCAGUUGCUAGAAUGCCAAAACUUAUUAAUUAUAUAGAGAUUAUCGUUAAUUGCCCACUUUAAUAUGAUAUAUAUCAAUAUAUCAUUUUUUUUUUUU
rnacentral:lncRNA from 1 species